UACGUAGGGGGGCAAGCGUUUGUCCGGAUUUAUUGGGCGUAAAGAGCGUGUAGGCGGCUUUACAGGUCCGUUGUGAAAACUCGAGGCUCAACCUCGAGACGCCGGUGGAAACCGUAAAGCUAGAGUCCGGAAGAGGAGAGUGGAAUUCCUGGUGUAGCGGUGAAAUGCGCAGAUAUCAGGAAGAACACCCGUGGCGAAGGCGGCUCUCUGGGCCGAAAUUGACGCUGAGGCGCGAAAGCGUGGGGAGCAAACAGG
rnacentral:rRNA from 1 species